rnacentral:rRNA from 1 species
UGGGGAAUUUUGGACAAUGGGCUAAAGCCUGAUCCAGCAAUGCCGCGUGUGUGAAGAAGGCCUUCGGGCUGUAAAGCACUUUUGUCCGGAAAGAAAUCCUUGGCUCUAAUACAGUCGGGGGAUGACGGUACCGGAAGAAUAAGCACCGGCUAACUACGUGCCAGCAGCCGCGGUAAUACGUAGGGUGCAAGCGUUAAUCGGAAUUACUGGGCGUAAAGCGUGCGCAGGCGGUUUGCUAAGACCGAUGUGAAAUCCCCGGGCUCAACCUGGGAACUGCAUUGGUGACUGGCAGGCUAGAGUAUGGCAGAGGGGGGUAGAAUUCCACGUGUAGCAGUGAAAUGCGUAGAGAUGUGGAGGAAUACCGAUGGCGAAGGCAGCCCCCUGGGCCAAUACUGACGCUCAUGCACGAAAGCGUGGGGAGCAAAACAGGAUUAGAUACCCUGGUAGUCCACGCCCUAAAACGAUGUCAACUAGUUGUUGGGGAUUCAUUUCCUUAGUAACGUAGCUAACGCGUGAAGUUGACCGCCUGGGGAGUACGGUCGCAAGAUUAAAACUCAAAGGAAUUGACGGGGUCAUAGCUGUUUCCU